rnacentral:rRNA from 1 species
CCCGGACACAAGCGGUGGAUGAUGUGGAUUAAUUCGAUGCAACGCGAAAACCUUACCUACCCUUGACAUGUCUGGAACCUUGCUGAGAGGCGAGGGUGCCUUCGGGAGCCAGAACACAGGUGCUGCAUGGCUGUCGUCAGCUCGUGUCGUGAGAUGUUGGGUUAAGUCCCGCAACGAGCGCAACCCUUGUCAUUAGUUGCCAUCAUUUAGUUGGGCACUCUAAUGAGACUGCCGGUGACAAACCGGAGGAAGGUGGGGAUGACGUCAAAUCAUCAUGCCCCUUAUGACCUGGGCUACACACGUGCUACAAUGGUUGGUACAGACGGAGGCGAAGCCGCGAGGCGGAGCAAAUCCGAAAAAGCCGGUCUCAGUUCGGAUUGCAGGCUGCAAUUCGCCUGCAUGAAGUCGGAAUCGCUAGUAAUCGCAGGUCAGCAUACUGCGGUGAAUACGUUCCCGGGCCUU